CCUAGAAAAAAUCUAAGGUGAAACCUGCCCAAUGAUUUCAAAACAUAAAUUAAACGUUACAAAAGAAAUUUAAAGGACGCAGUAAUUUGACUGUGAUAAAGUAGCACAAUCACUUGCCAUUUAAUUGGUGGAUAGUAUGAAUGGUUAAACGAGUCCCACACUGUCUAAAAGAGAGAAAUCAUGAAAUUAGAAUAAUAGUCAAGAUGCUAUUUAAAAUUGUAAGACGAAAAGACCCUAUAGAGCUUAACUACCUUUCUCCUCUAAAAUAAAAAGAACACCCUAUAAAAUAGGGAGAAAGGUAGUUUAGUUGGGGCGACUACCUUCUAAAAAUAACGAAGGUAAGCUAAGUUAAUAAAAAACUUACUGUACAAUCAAUAAAUUUAACAGUUACCACAAUAGGCUAUAAUGACCCGUUAAAACCUAGUAAAAGGGUUAACGAUCAAUAAAUAAAAGUUACCUUAGGGAUAACAGGAUAAUCCUGCCUUAGAGACCUCAUCGAAGGCAAAGUUUAUCACCUCUAUGUUGAAUUAAGAUAUCCCAAUAGUGCAGCAACUAUUAAAGGUAGGUCUGUUCGACCUUUAAAAU
rnacentral:rRNA from 1 species